AAAAUUAUGGAGUUCAUUUUCAUUUAUUAUGUAAUUAAUUAAUUUAUUUGUUAUCGUCCCAGGCCCGAAAAAUUACUUACCGAAAAAUCUCGUCACGUUUUAAUCUUGCGAGAUCUUGUGACACGAGCAUUUGUGGCACCCAUACUUACCCACACUUAGACCUACCCUUCAGGAACUAAUAAAAUGUUUGCCAGGUCAUUGGGGACUCUUUUGCCUGACGCACCAUAGGAAGAGCACAAGGGAAGGAAAACAAGUUGUCUAUGUCCGAGGAAGGAGCAAAUAGGGAUGUUGGCUGUAGGGGACUACGGAAACAUGGAGACUCAUGUGACAUAUUGAGCGCCUACAGCGAGAUUCUUCCCCAUGAGCGGCAUUCCAGAGCAGGCUGUCCCACGGGAGCACCGGGAGUGGGGCCCGGCCAGUGGUG